GACGUAGGGUGCGAGCGUUGUCCGGAUUUAUUGGGCGUAAAGAGCUCGUAGGCGGCUCGUCGCGUCGACCGUGAAACCCCGCAGCUUAACUGCGGGCCUGCGGUUGAUACGGGCGGGCUAGAGUUCGGUAGGGGAGACUGGAAUUCCUGGUGUAGCGGUGAAAUGCGCAGAUAUCAGGAAGAACACCCGUGGCUAAGGCGGUUCUCUAGUACGGUACUGACGCUGAGACGCGAAAGCGUGGGGAGCGAACAGG
rnacentral:rRNA from 1 species